AUUUAAAUAGCUUAUAGUAUAAAGCACAAUAUUGAAGAUAUUGGGAAAAUUAUAUUAAUUUUUAAAUA
rnacentral:tRNA from 1 species